rnacentral:rRNA from 1 species
UACGUAGGGUGCGAGCGUUUGUCCGGAAUUAUUGGGCGUAAAGAGCUCGUAGGCGGCUUGUCGCGUCGAAUGUGAAAGCCCGGGGCUUAACUCCGGGUCUGCAUUCGAUACGGGCAGGCUAGAGUUCGGUAGGGGAGAUCGGAAUUCCUGGUGUAGCGGUGAAAUGCGCAGAUAUCAGGAGGAACACCGGUGGCGAAGGCGGAUCUCUGGGCCGACACUGACGCUGAGGAGCGAAAGCGUGGGGAGCGAACAGG